GACGAACCGUGCGAACGUUAUUCGGAAUCACUGGGCUUAAAGGGCGCGUAGGCGGGCCCUCAAGUCAGGGGUGAAAUCCUCCGGCUCAACCGGGGAAGUGCCUCUGAUACUGGGGGCCUCGAGGGAGGCAGGGGCGUGCGGAACUUCCGGUGGAGCGGUGAAAUGCGUAGAUAUCGGAAGGAACACCGGUGGCGAAAGCGGCGCGCUGGACCUCUUCUGACGCUGAGGCGCGAAAGCCAGGGGAGCAAACGGG
rnacentral:rRNA from 1 species